AGUGAACGCUGGCGGUAGGCCUAACACAUGCAAGUCGAACGGCAGCACAGUAAGAGCUUGCUCUUACGGGUGGCGAGUGGCGGACGGGUGAGGAAUACAUCGGAAUCUACUUUUUCGUGGGGGAUAACGUAGGGAAACUUACGCUAAUACCGCAUACGACCUACGGGUGAAAGCAGGGGAUCUUCGGACCUUGCGCGAUUGAAUGAGCCGAUGUCGGAUUAGCUAGUUGGCGGGGUAAAGGCCCACCAAGGCGACGAUCCGUAGCUGGUCUGAGAGGAAGAUCAGCCACACUGGAACUGAGACACGGUCCAGACUCCUACGGGAGGAAGCAGUGGGGAAUAUUGGACAAUGGGCGCAAGCCUGAUCCAGCCAUACCGCGUGGGUGAAGAAGGCCUUCGGGUUGUAAAGCCCUUUUGUUGGGAAAGAAAAGCAGCAGGUUAAUACCCCGCUGUUCUGACGGUACCCAAAGAAUAAGCACCGGCUAACUUCGUG
rnacentral:rRNA from 1 species